rnacentral:rRNA from 1 species
GACGAACGCUGGCGGCGCGCCUAACACAUGCAAGUCGAACGAGAGAGAGGGAGCUUGCUUCCUCAAUCAAGUGGCGAACGGGUGAGUAACGCGUGAGGAACCUGCCUCAAAGAGGGGGACAACAGUUGGAAACGACUGCUAAUACCGCAUAAGCCCACAGGUCGGCAUCGACCAGAGGGAAAAGGAGCAAUCCGCUUUGAGAUGGCCUCGCGUCCGAUUAGCUAGUUGGUGAGGUAACGGCCCACCAAGGCGACGAUCGGUAGCCGGACUGAGAGGUUGAACGGCCACAUUGGGACUGAGACACGGCCCAGACUCCUACGGGAGGCAGCAGUGGGGAAUAUUGCACAAUGGGGGAAACCCUGAUGCAGCGACGCCGCGUGGAGGAAGAAGGUCUUCGGAUUGUAAACUCCUGUUGUUGAGGAAGAUAAUGACGGUACUCAACAAGGAAGUGACGGCUAACUACGUGCCAGCAGCCGCGGUAAAACGUAGGUCACAAGCGUUGUCCGGAAUUACUGGGUGUAAAGGGAGCGCAGGCGGGAAGACAAGUUGGAAGUGAAAUCUAUGGGCUCAACCCAUAAACUGCUUUCAAAACUGUUUUUCUUGAGUAGUGCAGAGGUAGGCGGAAUUCCCGGUGUAGCGGUGGAAUGCGUAGAUAUCGGGAGGAACACCAGUGGCGAAGGCGGCCUACUGGGCACCAACUGACGCUGAGGCUCGAAAGUGUGGGCAGCAAACAGGAUUAGAUACCCUGGUAGUCCACACCGUAAACGAUGAUAAUAGGUGUUGGAGGAUGGACCCCUUCAGUGCCGCAGUUAACACAAUAAGUAAUCCACCUGGGGAGUACGACCGCAAGGUUGAAACUCAAAGGAAUAGACGGGGGCCCGCACAAGCAGUGGAGUAUGUGGUUUAAUUCGACGCAACGCGAAGAACCUUACCAAGUCUUGACAUCCUGCGACGAUGCUGGAAACAGUAUUUUCCUUCGGGACGCAGAGACAGGUGGUGCAUGGUUGUCGUCAGCUCGUGUCGUGAGAUGUUGGGUUAAGUCCCGCAACGUGCGCAACCCUUACUGUCAGUUACUACGCAAGAGGACUCUGGCAGGACUGCCGUUGACAAAACGGAGGAAGGUGGGGAGGACGUCAAAUCAUCAUGCCCCCUAUGACUUGGGCUACACACGUACUACAAUGGCGUUAAACAAAGAGAAGCAAGACCGCGAGGUGGAGCAAAACUCAGAAACAACGUCCAAGUUCGGACUGCAGGCUGCAACUCGCCUGCACGAAGUCGGAAUUGCUAGUAAUCGUGGAUCAGCAUGCCACGGUGAAUACGAUCCCGGGCCUUGCACA